rnacentral:rRNA from 1 species
UACGUAGGGUGCAAGCGUUGUCCGGAAUUAUUGGGCGUAAAGAGCUUGUAGGCGGUUUGUCGCGUCGACUGUGAAAUCCCGCGGCUCAACUGCGGGUCUGCAGUCGAUACGGGCAGGCUAGAGUUCGGUAGGGGAGACUGGAAUUCCUGGUGUAGCGGUGAAAUGCGCAGAUAUCAGGAGGAACACCGGUGGCGAAGGCGGGUCUCUGGGCCGAUACUGACGUGAGGAGCGAAAGCGUGGGGGAGCGAACAGG